UACGAAGGGGGCUAGCGUUGCUCGGAAUCACUGGGCGUAAAAGGGUGCGUAGGCGGGUCUUUAAGUUCAGGGGUGAAAUCCUGGAGCUCAACUCCAGAACUGCCUUUGAUACUGAAGAUCUUUGAGUUUCGGGGAGAGGUGAGUGGAAGCUGGCGAGUGUAGAGGUGAAAAUUCGUAGAUAUUCGCAAGAACACCAGUGGCGAAGGCGGCUCAC
rnacentral:rRNA from 1 species